GCCUCUGUAGCUUAGCAGGUAGAGCGUGUGACUGUUAAUCACAAGGUCGGCAGUUCGAGACGCAUUAAAUCCGAAAGAUUUAUGGCGGGAAAAUCUGCCCAGAGGCG
rnacentral:tRNA from 1 species